AGCUGUGCAAAAGCUUGUAAGUUUAAUUAGAACCCAUUUGUUUAUUUUUGCUUUUAUUUCCAUUACUCCAGGAGCUGGUUUGAAAAUUAUAUUGCUAUAAUGUAUGUCCGUGAGUGUUCUGCCUAUGUUUUCCUCUAGCAGUUUUAUAGUAUCUGGUCUUACAUUUAGGUCUUUAAUCCAUUUUGAGUUUAUUUUGUUACAUGGUGCUAGAGAAUGUUAUAAUUUCAGUCUUUUACAGAUGGGAUCUGAU